rnacentral:snoRNA from 1 species
GGUGUGAUGUUACAAUAUAUUUGCUACUUCAGAGGGCUCGCCCAAUGAGACCAUUCAAAAUCACCAAGAUCUCUGACC